UUCCGGUUGAUCCCGCCAGACCUGACUGCUAUCGGAUUGAUACUAAGCCAUGCGAGUCAUUGUAGCAAUACAAGGCAUACGGCUCAGUAACGCGUAGUCAACCUAACCUAUGGACGGGAAUAACCUCGGGAAACUGAGAAUAAUUCCCGAUAGAACAUUAUACCUGGAAUGGUUUAUGUUUCAAAUGAUUUAUCGCCGUAGGAUGGGACUGCGGCCUAUCAGUUUGUUGGUGAGGUAAUGGCCCACCAAGACUAUUACAGGUACGGGCUCUGAGAGGAGUAGCCCGGAGAUGGGUACUGAGACACGGACCCAGGCCCUAUGGGGCGCAGCAGGCGAGAAAACUUUGCAAUGUGCGAAAGCACGACAAGGUUAAUCCGAGUGAUUUGUGCUAAACGAAUCUUUUGUUAGUCCUAGAAACACUAACGAAUAAGGGGUGGGCAAGUUCUGGUGUCAGCCGCCGCGGUAAAACCAGCACCUCAAGUGGUCAGGAUGAUUAUUGGGCCUAAAGCAUCCGUAGCCGGCUCUGUAAGUUUUCGGUUAAAUCUGUACGCUCAACGUACAGGCUGCCGGGAAUACUGCAAAGCUAGGGAGUGGGAGAAGUAGACGGUACUCGGUAGGAAGUGGUAAAAUGCUUUGAUCUAUCGAUGACCACCUGUGGCGAAGGCGGUCUACUAGAACACGUCCGACGGUGAGGGAUGAAAGCUGGGGGAGCAAACCGGAUUAGAUACCCGGGUAGUCCCAGCUGUAAACUAUGCAAACUCAGUGAUGCAUUGGCUUGUGGCCAAUGCAGUGCUGCAGGGAAGCCGUUAAGUUUGCCGCCUGGGAAGUACGUACGCAAGUAUGAAACUUAAAGGAAUUGGCGGGGGAGCACCACAAGGGGUGAAGCCUGCGGU
rnacentral:rRNA from 1 species